CGUAGGGUCCAAGCGUUAAUCGGAAUUACUGGGCGUAAAGCGUGCGCAGGCGGUUGUGUAAGCCAGAUGUGAAAUCCCCGGGCUUAACCUGGGAAUGGCAUUUGGGACUGCACGGCUAGAGUACGGCAGAGGAGACUAGAAUUCCUGGUGUAGCAGUGAAAUGCGUAGAUAUCAGGAGGAAUACCGAUGGCGAAGGCAGGUCUCUGGGUCGAUACUGACGCUCAUGCACGAAAGCGUGGGGAGCAAACAGGAUUAGAUACCCUGGUAGUCCACGCCCUAAACGAUGUCAACUGGUUGUUGGGGAAUUGAUUUCCUUAGUAACGAAGCUAACGCGUGAAGUUGACCGCCUGGGGAGUACGGUCGCAAGAUUA
rnacentral:rRNA from 1 species